UCCGUUCCCAGUUUGAUAUCGUGGUAGAUUAUUGCACAGUGUACGACAAGUUGCACAAUUAAGAACGUAAGAGAUGGAGGUCUUGAAUCAUGGAAGAGUGUGACUGCAUCAGCCCAGACCCAACCUUGGAUUUGUCUUCCUUUCUCUGCAAACUAUAUACAUAUAUAUAUAUGGAAAAGUAAAAAGCGAAAACAUGGGAGCAGUCAGUUUUUUUGCAGAGCUCACUUUUCUCUCUACAUGGCCAUGGGCAUGGAGAAAUCCCCAAACUUAGGUGAGUUUAAAGGCUUGUACGUUUUUGCAGCUAUUUACCCAGGAACAUGAUGAAUUUAGCGGUUGAAUCUGUAGAUUUGAACCCACUAAAAAUGAAAUACAAAAAACCCUAGAUUUGAUAACUCGCAGAAGCUGGUUUCUCUUUGAGAGGGGCGAAAGGUUUUGAUAUUGCAAAUUAGGGUUUUUUUUUUUUCUUUUUUUUUUUUUUGUUGUUUUGAUUGAGCUUGGAUUGAGAUGGAAAAGCUGGGAAGGCAGCUUUCUGUUCAGGAUUGGGAGACAAUCAUGGAGGAUUUUCAGUCAGGGCCUGUUAAACAAGAGAAAUGGUUGGCUCUGUAUCCUCGUCUUACCAUUCUUGAACUUGCUUUGUUCAAUGUAUUGAAGAAGGAUUUCUUGCUUAAAUCGCAUCUGGUUGUGUUUAUGGAAGAAUUCUCUGAAAUUUUGAUCCCAGAAGCUGACGUAGACGAGGGUUUGGGCAGUGUCCUAGAAGCUUUAAGAGCUCUAGUUCAAGCUCCAGUUGAUGGAGUCUCUGUAACAUAUGCUUUGAAGGAGCAAAUGAUGGUCUCUGCAACUUCAGUGGUAAUUGUAGCUGAUGGCCUUCACAAAUCAUCACGUCGGUUGGGAGCUUUAGCUGAGCUUUUGCUCACUGUGAUUAAUAGGCCUAGUUAUGGGGUUGAUAGGCAAACAAGAGGGGUUGCUUGUGAGUGUUUGAGAGAGCUUGAGAGGGCUUAUCCAUGCCUAUUUUAUGAGCUUUCAGGCCAUUUUUGGGCCUUAUGCCAAAGUGAGAGAACCCAUUGUGCACAAAACUACAUUCUCUUGUUGACCCAUCUGGUUCAUGACAUUGUUUGUUUGAUGGGGAAUAAUUCUCGAUCAAAACCCAAUUCACCUUCUCCUCUGUCUCUUGCUUCUUCCCUUCUCUCUAUUACAAACCCAAUUGUCCCUUUCAAUGUACCAAGCUUUUUGGUGGCUUCAAUCCCCGGAGAAGAAUCAAAUUCAAUACCUUUCAGAGAGCUAUCAUCUUUGAAUAUAAAGGAGCUUCGAAGGGUCAUGGCUUUCCUUUUGGAGAGGCCUCAGAUUUUGACUCCUAGUGCAAUGCUUGAAUUUGUGUCAAUGCUUAUACAUGUUGCAGUGGCUCUAGAGCUUCAGGUCUCUCUAUUGAAGGUGCAGUUCUUUGGCCUUCUUUACUCCUAUAACCCUCUCCUAUGGCAUGUUGUUCUUAUGCUGUAUUCGCAUUUCUCAGAUGCUUUUGAUGGUGAAGAGAAAGAAAUCGCCCGGCGUCUCGUUCUUAUAUCGAAAGAAGUACCCGAACAACUUGUUUUCCGCCUUCUCGUGGUUCAUUGGCUUUUGGGUCUCGAGGUUUUGUCUCUGGAGAGGGAGAGGAGUCACACUGUGGUUCCAAUGGCCUAUAGUUUUUACCCUCCUGUUUUUGAUCCAUUGGCUCUGAAAGCUCUAAAAUUGGAUGUGCUUGCCUACUGUGCGAUAUGUGUUGAAGCUUCUCUCUCUAGCGUGAAGAGAGGGGAUCAACAACCUGGUUUGGAGGAUCAAGGUUCUUCAAUGAAAGAGGAGCUAGGAAUUUCUGGAAGGAAAAUGUUUGAAGCUGGUCUUAUAUGCGUCUCGUCAUUUAAGUGGUUGCCACCAGGGAGCACUGAAACCAUGGUAGCAUUUCGUAUGUUCCAUAAGUUUUUAAUAGGAGCUGCAUCCCAGGAAGCAAUUAAUUCAUCUGAUACCAUGGCUUCGACAUCAUGCACGAGCUUUUGUACAUUACAGGACAUGCUAGUGAACACAACAUUAGAGUCUCGUAGAUUGGUUCCUGUUAUUGUGGGUUUCAUUGAUCGGUUAAUGACGUGCAAUUCACAUCGGUGGUUGGGAGAAUGCCUGCUUCAAAAAUUUGAUGAGCAAUUACUCCCGAAGCUUGUUUCGGAUUAUCAGUUGACAUCUUACUUCCCUAUCUUUAAUAGAAUUGCGGAGAAUGUUACUAUUCCUCCCCGCGGUUUACUGGAGUUGCUUGCCAAGUUUCUUGUGACUCUUGUGGAGAACCAUGGUCCAGAAAAUGGUCUAAAAUCGUGGUCAAAGGGAAGUAAAGUGUUAGGUAUAUGCAGGACUAUACUCAUGUAUCACCAUAGUUCAAGGAUUUUCCUUCCCCUCUCUCAUCUCCUGAAUUUCGCUUGCCAGUAUUUCCCUGACUUGGAGGUCCGCGACAAUGCAAGGAUCUACUUGAGGAUGCUCUUAUGCAUCCCAGGAAAGAAGCUUAGGCAUGUACUGAACCUAGGACAACAGCUUCCUGGUGACUCCUCUUCUCCAAACCUCUCCACAUUCUUCCAAACGCCAUCUCCUCGACCGCCUCGGGAUACAAGGAGUGGCCAUAAGCCGUCUUCAUACAUUGAUCUCAAUCGUGUGGUUCCACUUAUUGUCAAGCAGUCUUGGUCCUUGGCUAUAUCAAAUUUGGGAAUAGAAGACAAGCAGCCUGGGUAUGGUGAUGCUUAUGGGGUUGAGCCUUCCUUUAGAGCCACUGAGAUUGAAGAUGGGUCAGAUGCACUGGCCCAUGAAGAGCCUAAGAUAACUACCGGAACAUCAGAGGAGCCUUUGAGAGUGAUGGAUGCAAAGAUUGCGGAGAUCUUGGGAAUCCUUAGGAGACAUUUCGCAUCAAUUCCUGACUAUCGACAUAUGCCAGGCCAUAAAAUCGAAGUACCAUGUACACUGAGAUUUGAUGCUUCUUCUUUUAGUGACAAAUGGGAACCCGAAUCGCCAAAUAUGGAAGCUAAAGUAACUAAGGAAUUACCUGCUCUAUAUGCCAUAGUGAUCAGCUUUUCAUCUUCUUCAAAUUAUGGUCUAAUCCCAUCAGUCCACAUACCUUUUCUUCUUGGACAAGCUCCUAGCAAUGAGCAUGUUUCCCCAGAUGAAGCUUCCACUGAUAUGGGACAUGAAGGUGAAAUGAUUCCUUUAGAAAGGUUGUUCAGUAUUGAAGGAAAUGGUUUUGAAGAGGCAGAAAUAAGUGAAGAAGAAGCCCUGACAGGGUCAGUGAUAAUUGAACUGGAGCCUCGAGAGCCAGUUCCUGGCUUGGUGAAUGUUUCCAUUGAGGCAAACAUAGAGAAUGGGCAAACAAUUCAUGGUCUGCUUCAAAGUAUCACAGUGGGUAUUGAGGACAUGUUUCUCAGGUCUCCUGUUCCUUCUGAUGUUCCUGUAGAUGCAAUUCCUAAGUAUCACUAUGAUCUGUUUCAUGCUCUUUGGGAGGCAUGUGGUAACUCUAGUAACACAGGUCGGGAAACAUUCUUCUUGAAAGGGGGCAAAGGUGUUGCAGCAGUCAAUGGGACGAGAUCAAUUAAGCUUUUAGAAGUUUCAUUUGAACAUGUGGUUGGAGCCAUCGAGCGUUAUUUGGCUUCCUUUGUUGUUGGCGUGACUGGUGAGCCUAUUGUGAGUAGCAUAAAGGAUAACAGCACUUUUAAGGGUAUUAUUGUCCCUGAGGAUGAGUUGGAGAGUACAAGCAGCAGUGUGGCCACGGGUUUUCCAUAUGGUGAUAGUGGUCCCCUUCAGCUCAAGUAUUUUCCAGACGAAACUGAUUCAGAGAUUAAUUAUUCUGGAUUUGGUAGGAGACACCUUGGUUAUUUUCUUGUUUUGAUAUUCCUGCCCCCUAGAUUUCAUCUCCUCCUUCAGAUGGAGGUUUGCAAUUUUUCAACAUUAGUUCGUAUCAGAACCGAUCAUUGGCCAUGUCUUGCUUAUAUGGAUGAAUAUUUGGAAGCUUUAACUGCGACCUGAGAUGGUGCUUUUCUUCCAUGAAAAAUUUUUCAUGGUAUCUGCGGCCUGUUACUUUUUGGCAUGAUUUAUGUCAGCAUUGGCUCCUCUAUCACCUUCUUUACUCGGGGAAGGCCAUGUGGCAGAACAUUCACUCUCAGGCCUGAUAGCCUCAAAGAAGGGAGGUGUGCCUAGUAGUCGCUCAAGGAAAGAGGAAUCACAGGUCCAAGUCGAAUUGCGUGUUGAGCGUACUCAGAUUAAAAACUAAGGAUACUGCAUGUUGAGCGUACUCAGAUUAAAAACUAAGGAUGUGGCUCUCGCUCAUGAUAUCGAUGAAGUACAUCUAUGGCUCAGCCAAAAAAGCUCUCGCUACCACUCAAACAGAAGCUCCUCUUGCUCUCCAAUUCCUAGGUGAACUUUUCCAUAUCCGUCUUGGGGUUGAUGCCUAUUCAAAACUCAAAACUCAAGCUCCUAAGUUCUGAAACCUUCCAAACCUUCUGACAGGAUCCUCCCACCUAGCAUCAUGUGAGAAAGUGGCUUGCAUUAGGCCUAGUUAAAAACUCAAGCUACUCAGCUACAAGGUCAGGAAGCCACGGAAGGAAGGCGAGCAAGCCGGUAUGGAAAACCUAGCACAACGUUUAUGCAAAGUUCUUGGAAUCUCAUGUACCUUUCCUUAGGACUCCUUAUAAAAGGAACUGCCAAAGUCUCUAGUAUUUUCUCAGAUUUUUUUCCUGUUAUUUUGAAGGUGAGUUAAAAAGCCAUAAGAUCAGCCUAAACUUGGCAAGAUUGUAUAGGAAAUUCUGUCAAAAUUGUUGGCAAGAUUGGAAGAUUAAACCUGGCAAGAUUGUUGGCAAGAUUGGAAGGUUAACUUGUAUUAUCUUCAAACAAGCAUGAUGGUAUAUACAGUGUUAACACUGAAGGAAACUCACCAUUUAUAUACGCAAAGGAAUCAGCAAGAAAGGAAAAGGAGGGUUGAAAGUGCAGACAAGCAGGGCCAACUCCUGGAGUUGUUGGUGGGCGAACAACAGUGAGGCUACGUGAUGAGAAAUUGCUCAACCACAAAAGCCAAAUUUGAGCUGCCAUCC